rnacentral:tRNA from 1 species
AUUUUAGAAAUAAUAAAUUAUAUUCAAUUUCGACUUGAAAUUUAGAUUAAAUUAAUAAUCCUUUAAUU